rnacentral:rRNA from 1 species
CCUACGUGCGGCAGCAGUGAGGAAUCUUGGUCAAUGGACGCAAGUCUGAACCAGCCAUGCCGCGUGCAGGAAGACGGCUCUAUGAGUUGUAAACUGCUUUUGUACGAGGGUAAACGCAGAUACGCGUAUCUGUCUGACAGUAUCGUACGAAUAAGGAUCGGCUAACUCCGUGCCAGCAGCCGCGGUAAUACGGAGGAUUCAAGCGUUAUCCGGAUUUAUGGGGUUUAAAGGGUGCGUAGGCGGUCGGAUAAGUUAGAGGUGAAACCCCGAGGCUCAACUUCGGAAUUGCCUCGGAUACUGUGCGGCUAGAGAGUAGUUGCGGUAGGCGGAAUGUAUGGUGUAGCGGUGAAAUGCGUAGAGAUCAUACAGAACACCGAUGGCGAAGGCAGCUUACCAAGCUACUUCUGACGUUGAGGCACGAAAGCGUGGGGAGCAAACAGGAUUAGAUACCCGGGUAGUC